UUGCACUCCAGGCUCCUCCCUUCAGCAUGGAGACCUGUGUGUAGGGACUUCAAACAGCAGCCAUCUUGGAAAUAUAUGCAGCCCGUUGCUUGCAUGUGUUGCUUUAAGGGACCUUUGAGAAAGUU
rnacentral:snoRNA from 1 species